rnacentral:lncRNA from 1 species
CAUCCCCCCAGGGCUUCUCCUCUUUAGCAAAGAAGCUCCCUAACCUUGAAAGACUUAUUCAUGGAGAUGGGGCAUUUUAUAACCUGUCUCCUUCUAGAAGUAGCUUUAAGGCUGCCUGUCACCAGCUAUUAGAACCAGUUACGUGACCAUCCAACUGAUCAGAUCUUGGUGGAAAGAUGGGCGUUCUCACGGGUGAACAGGGGAGAAGAACGAAUGCAUGGAUUCCUGUUUCGGCUCAUACUUCAGAUUCUGACCGUGUGGAAGAAAGGACGAACAGAAGGUCAAGUAGAGCUCUUACCUGGAACUCGCUGUUCCAUGAAGUACAGUGAAAGAAUCCAAAAACUUAGGAGAGGCAUACACACCUUUUGUGGAUUAUCUGCUCAAAUCAAAUCCAGGAGGAUCAUGCAUCAAUGUCCAAACUCAUGUGGUGUCAAGACUUAA